CCAUUUAAAGUGGUACGCGAGCUGGGUUUAGAACGUCGUGAGACAGUUCGGUCCCUAUCUGCCGUGGACGUUUGAGAUUUGAGAGGGGCUGACCUUAGUACGAGAGGACCGGGUUGGACGAACCUCUGGUGUUCCGGUUGUGUCGCCAGACGCAUUGCCGGGUAGCUACGUUCGGAAAAGAUAACCGCUGAAAGCAUCUAAGCGGGAAACUUGCCUCAAGAUGAGAUCUCACCGGGAGCUUGACUCCCCUAAAGGGCCGUCGAAGACUACGACGUUGAUAGGUUGGGUGUGUAAGCGCUGUGAGGCGUUGAGCUAACCAAUACUAAUUGCCCGUGUGGCUUGACCAUAUAACACCCAAGCA
rnacentral:rRNA from 1 species